AUACGGAGGAUGCAGGCGUUAUCCGGAUUUAUUAGGUUUAAAGGGUGUUCAGGCUGCCUGGUAAGUCAGGGGUGAAAGUCGGUCGCUCAACGAUCGAAUUGCCUUUGAAACUGUCAGGCUCGAGUAUGGAUGCGGUAGGCGGAACGUGUAGUGUAGCGGUGAAAUGCAUAGAUAUUACACAGAACACCGAUUGCGAAGGCAGCUUACCAAACCAGCACUGACGCUGAAGCACGAAAGCGUGGGGAGCGAACAGGAUUAGAUACCCUGGUAGUCCACGCCGUAAACUUUGCUCACUCGCUGUUGGCGAUACACAGUCAGCGGCCAAGGGAAACCGAUAAGUGAGCCACCUGGGGAGUACGGCCGCAAGGUUGAA
rnacentral:rRNA from 1 species